UCUUGACGUCGAGCCCACCGACGUCGUCCUGCGCGAGGACGGUCAAGGCUCCGGCGUCCUUGUGGCGGCCGACGCCGAGGGCGAGGUGAGGAGCAGGGCAGGGAGGGUAGUAGUUGAGCCGGAUGAAGCUCGACGGCGACCCGCCUUCGAAGAAUCCGUUCAGCCGCUUUGCCGGCAGGCCCAGCGUGAGGGAGAUGAGCUCCAGCAGCUUGAAGGCCAGCUCCUGCACCGCCCUGCCGUAUCUCUGCCCUGCAUCUCUGCGCCACGCAGCAAGGAUUUCAUGUCAAAACCACACCCACAGAGCGCUGCAAGGUCGGGGGAGCAGGACCUCAGCUGGGGAGGGUACUCCGGCCACUGGUUCUUCCAAAUCUCCGGCCCUUGAACGCCGGCCGCCAUGACCGUCGCCUCGCCGGGAACCAUGAAGUCCAGAACCUCUUUCCAGUCCCGGACGUUCUUGGUGUGCUCCCCUUCGUAGUACCCCCAGGCAUUCACCGCGUCCCGCCGCACCCGGGCCUUCUCCUCGGCGGGCAACGCGAAGAACUCCCUCGCCGCGGCCUGCAGGUCCUCCAGGAGCUCCGGGGGCACGCCAUGGUUCACCACCUGGAGGAAGCCCCAGUCCCUGCAGGCGGCCUCCACCUGGUCCAGGAGACCAGACAAGGCCCCGUCGCUCUGGGCGGCCAGCGGGGAGAGGUCGAUCAGCGGUAUUCCCCCGGCCUCGUCGACGGUGGGCUUCGCCCUGUGCUCCGGAUCCUGGAAGAAGGCUUCGUCCAUCUCCAAACCCAUGAUGCCGCCUCUCCCACCAGCGAGCUGCAACAGCCGAUCCCAAGACGGGGAGGAAGACGAUCGAGACGGCGAUCGCGGGUAGUACAACGCACCUAGACCCCUCUCCGGGCUUCACGACAAAAAAGGGACGUGGCGGCCACCAAUCAUGCGCCGAGGUCGUCAACCACCGCCCGCGGAACUGGACUCAAGAGUUUGAGCGGUCAGGAUCGAAUGCGAGUUGUGACGCCGUCCUCCGCUAUUCUUCUUCUUCUUCUUCUUCACAGAGCUGCUGGAAUCUGG
rnacentral:lncRNA from 1 species